AGUUCCCGUCUCUUCCCUGGGGAGCACGGACGCUUUCCCUCGAGCUUCCUUCGCGUACACGCUGCGCGUUUCCCCGUGGUGCCGUGUUCGGCGGGAAUCACGCCUUUCCAUCUCAAGGAUGAGGAAACCGCAGCUUGGAAGGUGAAGUGACGCCCAGGGCCACGCGCUAGUGAGCCGGGAGCUUGCCUUCAAGCUCAGGAAGCCAGGGCCUCGGAGCCGGAGCCUUUCUCGUCGCCCCAGCUACGAACGAACUGUCUGACGUGGAUACCUUUUGUGGAGGAAUUUGAGGAGGCCGGAUUGAGCCGGCAGCAACUGGGUCCUAGCAUGAGGUCUUGCACCCAGUGGACAUUUAAUGAGUGUAUUUUUAUUGUUGUUAAUAAAUUAAUUAGCAAGAACACA